AUACGGAGGGUGCAAGCGUUACUCGGAAUCACUGGGCGUAAAGCGCGCGCAGGCGGUCUUUUAAGUUGGAUGUGAAAGCCUACGGCUCAACCGUAGAACUGCAUCCAAAACUAUUAGACUAGAGUCUGGGAGGGGAAGAUGGAAUUAGUUGUGUAGGGGUAAAAUCCGUAGAGAUAACUAGGAAUACCAAAAGCGAAGGCGAUCUUCUGGAACAGUACUGACGCUGAGGCGCGAAAGCGUGGGGAGCAAACAGGAUUAGAAACCCCGGUAGUCC
rnacentral:rRNA from 1 species